rnacentral:lncRNA from 1 species
AUGCGCAGUCGUUUCUGUGUGGUCUCCUAGGAGACCGCCCCAACAGCCCUCUAGGUUAAAGGUCUUGGGGAGGGGAGGGGUUUUCAAAAUAACCCGAGAAUUUCCCGGAGGCGUUUUGAUGGCCUAAUACACACUGACGUGUGUACAGUCAUCCCCUCUCAUGAAAUGGGGAUUAGUUCCAGGACCCCGUAGACACCAGAAUCCGCAGACGGUCAAGUCCCUUAUGUAAAAUGGUAUAGUGUUUGCAUAUAACCUGCAUACACCUUCCCAGAUAUUUAAACCAUCCCCUAGAUUAAGUAUAAUACCUAAUACAAUGCAAGUGCUAUGGAACUAGUUGUUAUACUGUAUUUAUUUGUAUUAUGUUUUAUUAUCUUUAUUUUUCCCGAAUAUUUUCAAUCCAUGGAAGGUUGAAUGCCCCGCGGGCCAACUGUAGGGUUAUCGUAGUCUUAGAUUUUUAUUAUUUAUUUAUUUGAGACAGGGUCUAGCUCUGUCGCCCAGGCUGGAGUGCAGUAGUGCGAUCUCGGCUCACUGCAGCCUCAACCUCCUGGGCUCCAGUGAGCCUCCCACCUCAGCCUCCCGAGGAGCUGGGACUACAGGCUCGCACCACCACGCCCAGCUAAAUUUUUUUUUUUUUUGAGACGGAUUCCCACUCUGUCGCCAGGCUGGAGUGCAGUGGCGCAAUCUCGGCUCACUGCAACCUCCGCCUCCCGGGUUCAAGCGAUUCUCCUGCCCCAGCCUCCCUAGUAGCUGGUACUACAGGCGUGUGCCACCACGCCCAGUUAAUUUUUUGUAUUUUUAGUAGAGACAGGGUUUCACCAUGUUGGCUAGGAUGGUCUCGAUCUCCUGACCUUGUGAUCCGCCCGCCUCAGCCUCCCAAAGUGCUGGGAUUACAGGCGUGAGCCACCGUGCUCGGCCAAUUUUUGCAUAUUUUUAUAGAGACAGGGUUUCGUCGUGUUGCCCAGGUUGGUUUCAAACUCAGCUCAAGUGAUCUGCCCGCCUCGGCCUCCUAAAGUGCUGGGGUUACAGGCGUGAGCCACUGCGCCCAGCCUGACAGAUAUUUCAGGGUUCUCCUAUUGUUCAGUACUAUGUAGACCAUCAACCUGAGAUCUUAUGUAAAAGUUGGGCAGUGCUGCGUACAUACAUGUCUGGUGUGGGGCAAACUAAACUCACAGAGAAGCAGCUCAGUCCCCAGAACUAUUUACUCUCUUUUAUGCUUCCAAGCAGGCAACAUAUUCAAUUCAUAUUUAUUAAUACUUCCUUAGCAACCAGAACCACAGAAUACAACAGCCAAAAAGGAAACAUGGACCACUAUCCUUUGAAAAAAAAAAUGGCUGGUAAUUUUAAUUGCUGUAUUUGAUUAUCUCUUGUGAGUUUGGUCUUAGUUCAUUUCUUUAUUUCUGCUAAAACUCUGUAAUAGAUACCCCUGAAGUCAAGUACCAAUUACAGAGGGAGGGUGGCAGUUAUGAGCACUAGGGACAGCAGAAAAAUCUUUAGGGAGCUGGGAGGAGACCAGCAGCUCCUCCUGCCUUACUGGGCCUGUUCAAGGAACAACCACUUCUUUUUUUCUUUUUUGAGACGAGUCUCGCUCUGUUGCCCAGGAUAUAGUGCAGUGGUGUGAUCUCUGCUCACUGCAACCUCCGCCUUCCUGGGUUCAAACUAUUAUCCUGCCUCAGCCUCCCUAGUAGCUAGGACUACAGGCACAUGCCACCACGCCCGGCUAAUUUUUGUAUUUUUAGUAGAGACGGAGUUUCACCAUGUUAGCCAGGAUGGUCUCAAUUUCCUGACCUUGUGAUCUGCCCGCCUCAGCCUCCCAAAGUGCUGGGAUUACAGGCGUGAGCCACCACGUUCGGCACAACCACUUCUUUCUAGGAAGCCAAGAGGACCUCAGUUUCUGUUGUUUAUCCUGUAUUAUUAUCCAUACCUCUGGAAAAUCUCAAUCCUAUGAACUUCAGAAAAAUGUAUUAAUAAUAGAGGUCAGUUUCAUAAUACAGAUCCAAGUAGGCAAAUUUGUUACCAGAAGCCUGUUUCUUGUAAAGUGAGGCUAGUAAUUCCUCUUUCAAUGGAUUGGUAAGAAAACUAAGUUUUCUCAGUGCCUAGCCUAGACAGAGUAGGAGCACAAAGAUUAGCUAAUAUUCUUGUGUGGUUCUGCUUUACAGUCUUCAGUUGUUUCCUCAUUGCCUGCAGAAUAAAGGCUCUAUGCAGCCUGCCCUCCCACUGUACUCUUCCAGCCUCCUCUGUCACUUGUCUUCAUGCAUGUUAUAUUCUAGGAACAUUGGACUUACCUGUACUCCUUGCUUCCUGCCUUUACUCAUGCUGUUUCUCAGCCAAGAAAAGCUUCACCUUUCCUGUUACAUACCUACUCAUCCUUCAAGAUCCAAUUCAAAUGUCAGCUUCUCCUUGAAGCCUUCAUUGACCUUUCCAGCCAGAAUUAAUGGAUCCCUCACAGUACUUAUAUUAUUCCGCUCUAUUAGAGCACUUAACACAUUGCAUUACAUAUACCUGUAAGUAUUCUCUCUUGCUGGUCCCUGAAUUCCUUGAGGGCUGUAUCCAACUAUCUAGAAAAGUGGUUCCCAAAGUAUGGUCUGGGCACCCCUGGGGAUCCUCCUUUGAAACCCUUUCAGAGGGUCCUUAAGGCCAAAAAUAUUUCCAUAAUAAUUCUCAGCUUUUUUAACUCUCAUUUUCUCAUGUAUGUACAGUGAAGUCUUCUGGAAGAUACAUGGUGUGUGAACUGUCAACAGAAUGAAUGCAAAAGCAGAUAGAUACGAGAUUCUAGCUGUUUUAUAUUAAGCCAGAUACUAAAGACAUUUGGAAAAAAUGUAAGACAAUGCCACUUUUCUCACUAAGCUUUUUAUGUUUUGAAAAAUAAUUGAACAUUACCAGCCUGGGCAACAUGGCAAAACCCUGUCUCUACAAAACAUACAAAAAUUAGCCAGGCAUGACGGUGCACGCCUGUGGUCCCAGCUACUCAGGAGGCUGAGGUGGGAGGAUUGCUCAAGCCUGGGAGGCAGAGGUUGCAGUGAGCCAAGAUUGUGCCACUGCACUCCAUCCUGGGCAACAGAGUGAGAUCCUGCCUCAAAAAAAAAAAAAAAAUUAACAUGUAAUUGGUUAUUUUUAAAUGAAUUUUAAAAUUUUAUUGUAUUUUUCAUUAAAGACAGAGUUUCAUAUGUUGCCCAGGCUGGAGUGCAGUGCGUAUUCACAGGGGCAAUCACAGCACACUAUGGCCUUGAACUCCUGGGCUCAAGCAAUCCUCCUGCUUCAGCCUCCCAAGUAGCUGGAACGACAGGUGCACACCACCACACCCAGCCUAAAUGAACAUUUUUCAGUUCCUCGGUCUUGAAUUCAUAAAUAGGAAAUAUUGAUAGCUAUAAACCACAUAAAGGUAUAAAGAUAGUUAUUUGGGGUCCUUAGUAAUUUUUUUUUGAGACAGGAUCUUGCUGUAUUGCCCAGGCUGGAGUGCAGUGGUGCAGUCACGGCUCACUGCACCCUUGAUCUCCCAGGCUUAAGCAGUCCUCCCACCUCAGCCUCCCAAGUUGUUGGCAUAGCAGGUGUGUACCACCACACCUGUUGUUUUUUUUUUUUCAUUUUAUUAUUACAUUUUUGAGAUGGAGUCUUGCUCUGUUGCCUAUGCUGGAGUGCAGUGGUGUAAUCUCAGCUCACUGCAACCUCCACCUCCCAGGUUCAAGCGAUUCUUCUGCCUCAGCCUCCCAAGUAGCUGGGAUUACAGGCACCCACCACCAUGCCCGGCCAAUUUUUAUAUUUUUUUAGUGGAGACUGUUUCACCAGGUUGCCCAAGUUGGGGUUUUUUUUCUUUUUAGUAGAGAUGAGGUUUUGCCAUGUGGCCCAGGCUGGUCUCAAACUCCUGAGCUCAAGCAAUUUGCCUGCCUCAGCCUCCCAAAGUGCAGGGAUUACAGACAUGAGCCAGCACACCUGGCUGGGGCCCUCAAUACUUUUUAAGAGUAUAAACUUUUUCCUGAGGCCAAAAAGUUUAAGAACCACUGAGGUAGUAUGUUGACUGGUACAUAAUAGGUACCCAAUAAAUGUUUGUUGAAUGAAUGGAAGAGUAAUAAUACUUUAAAAUAAUGUCGUCUUCCUUAAGACCAAGCCUCUUGCAUUCCACUCUCAACUUUGUCACUGACUGACACCACACACCCCUGAAAACAAUUUCUUAAAACUUUCUUGAAUGGAACUCCCCUUCCCCAUGUAGUCAUUGGAUAUAUAAUUUUUAUUCUUCCUUAUGUUAGAAGUUCUAAAGAGGGAAAAUGCAAUCAUAAAGUAUUUGGGCUAGGCAUGGUGGCUCAUGCCUGUAAUCCUAGCACUUGGGAGGUGGGUCAAUUGCUUGAGCCCAAGAGUUCAAGACCAGCCUGAGCAACAUAUGGCAAAACCCCAUCUCUACAAAAAAUUUGCCAGGUGUGGUGGUGUGCAUCUGUGUUCCCAGCCACUCAGGAGGUUGAGGUGGGAGGAUCACUUGAGCCCAGGAGGUUGAGGCUGCAGUGAGCUGAGAACAUGCCACCACACUCCAGUCUGGGUGACAGACUGAGACCCUGUCUUGAAAGAAAAAGGGAUGGAAGGAAAGAAAAGAAG